rnacentral:lncRNA from 1 species
CGGGAAGACGCCAGCCCCGAGUCUGAUGACCAGAUUUAGCCCAGAACGUUCUGUGAGGCUCCCUCUGACCGAGUCCCCCGCAGGCGCUUUCAUUUGCCACCUGGGGGGUCCAGCACCCACCUGCACCCUGUACCUGGUGUCGUCCUGCUGGCAUCAGCAUUUCCAAGCACCGCACACCUGCCUCAGGAGGGGGCCGUGCACCCUCCGGGCCUUCUGCCACCAGACCCAGUUGUGCCCAAUGAUGCUGUGAGCGUCUGUGCUGAGUCUUCAUCAGGAAAAUGUGGGAAAGACAUUAAAAUGGGUGAGGAGGUUUCUGGGCAUCCUUUCAGUGGGGGGCCAGGCGAACCCCUGGGUUCUCUGGUGCUGCAGUGAUCGGCGCCUUCCUCAUCUUUAAUGGAGCUGUGAGACAGUUCCCUGCACACCAGAAAGGUGACGGCCACACACAGGAGCCCACGGAGGUGCAAGGACACUUGUCAGUGGAGACACGGCUGAUUUCCACCAAUGGAAGAGAGAAUCCAAAGGGGAGGUUUCAGGCCCUGUGGAUAUUGGCUGGUUUGGUGAUGACUUGGGGGAUGCGUUCCAAGCACUCCAGUGGAUGCCUGAAACCUUGGAUAGUGUUGAACCCUGUAUAGACUAUGUUUUGUCCUAUAUGUACAGCCCUUUGAUAAAGUUUAAUUUGUAAAAUAGGCACAGUAAGAGAUUAACAAUCACCAAUCAUAAACAGCAAUUACAACAAUCUAUGGUGAUAAAAAUUAUGUGAAUGUGGGAUCUCCCUCUCUCUCAAGGUAUCUUACUGUGCUGUACUCACCUGUUUUCUGCAGUUGAGCACAGACAACUCAAGUCGGGGAUACGGGGGACGACUGUAUUAGCAAGUUCGUUUCAGCUCGAUUGCCUAAACCUGUGGAUUUUCCUUUGAACCAGUUUUAAUAUCUUCCUGCUUCCCUCAUGAAUUAAUAAGUUAAAUAAAACUUUUGACUUAACACGUGUAUUAGUCCAUUCUCGCAUCGCUAUCCAG